GGAAACUUUCAGGGAACGUUCUUAGUACUUAGAACAAUGAAAAUAACAUUAUUAUGAGCUGUAGUAAGUCAGAGGGAGGAGCUGUAAUCUUCAGUCUGUUCAUUCUUCAUCUUCUGUCACAGUUGUGUUUGGUUAUAGUUUAUCUUAGGAUGAAAUGUGCAGGAUUGAUUCUCAGGGUCAUUUUUGUCUCUCCAUUGGUCAGAUGUUGUCUGUGAUCUUGAUGAUUGUUUCACUGCUCAAAGCGAGUGCUGCUGCAAGUGUAAUAGAUCCACUGUCUUUAGAGACGCACAUCAUGACAGGAGACAAUGUUACUCUCUCCUGCAGUUACAGUGGUGGUGUUAGCACCUUGCAGUGGUAUCGACAAUAUCCAGGAUCUCCAGCAGAGUUUCUCAUCUUUAUCACUGAGAUGAGUGGCCGAUCAGAGACUUCACUCAGACUUUCAUCUGUGGCUGAUAAAGAAAAUAAACGUGUGGAUCUGAACAUCUUCUCAGCAGAGAUUAAAGACUCUGCAAUGUAUUACUGUGCCCUGGUGCCCACAGUGACAUAAAACACUGUCACACUGUACAAAAACCUCUAUUCAAUACAUAGAUCAGACAUUGUCUUCACAAGACAAUGGGUCUCAUUUACUUAUCAUGCUUAUGCA